UUAAGCGACUAAGCGUACACGGUGGAUGCCCUGGCAGUCAGAGGCGAUGAAGGACGUGCUAAUCUGCGAUAAGCGUCGGUAAGGUGAUAUGAACCGUUAUAACCGGCGAUUUCCGAAUGGGGAAACCCAGUGUGUUUCGACACACUAUCAUUAACUGAAUCCAUAGGUUAAUGAGGCGAACCGGGGGAACUGAAACAUCUAAGUACCCCGAGGAAAAGAAAUCAACCGAGAUUCCCCCAGUAGCGGCGAGCGAACGGGGAGCAGCCCAGAGCCUGAAUCAGUGUGUGUGUUAGUGGAAGCGUCUGGAAAGGCGCGCGAUACAGGGUGACAGCCCCGUACACAAAAAUGCACAUGCUGUGAGCUCGAUGAGUAGGGCGGGACACGUGGUAUCCUGUCUGAAUAUGGGGGGACCAUCCUCCAAGGCUAAAUACUCCUGACUGACCGAUAGUGAACCAGUACCGUGAGGGAAAGGCGAAAAGAACCCCGGCGAGGGGAGUGAAAAAGAACCUGAAACCGUGUACGUACAAGCAGUGGGAGCACGCUUAGGCGUGUGACUGCGUACCUUUUGUAUAAUGGGUCAGCGACUUAUAUUCUGUAGCAAGGUUAACCGAAUAGGGGAGCCGAAGGGAAACCGAGUCUUAACUGGGCGUUAAGUUGCAGGGUAUAGACCCGAAACCCGGUGAUCUAGCCAUGGGCAGGUUGAAGGUUGGGUAACACUAACUGGAGGACCGAACCGACUAAUGUUGAAAAAUUAGCGGAUGACUUGUGGCUGGGGGUGAAAGGCCAAUCAAACCGGGAGAUAGCUGGUUCUCCCCGAAAGCUAUUUAGGUAGCGCCUCGUGAAUUCAUCUCCGGGGGUAGAGCACUGUUUCGGCAAGGGGGUCAUCCCGACUUACCAACCCGAUGCAAACUGCGAAUACCGGAGAAUGUUAUCACGGGAGACACACGGCGGGUGCUAACGUCCGUCGUGAAGAGGGAAACAACCCAGACCGCCAGCUAAGGUCCCAAAGUCAUGGUUAAGUGGGAAACGAUGUGGGAAGGCCCAGACAGCCAGGAUGUUGGCUUAGAAGCAGCCAUCAUUUAAAGAAAGCGUAAUAGCUCACUGGUCGAGUCGGCCUGCGCGGAAGAUGUAACGGGGCUAAACCAUGCACCGAAGCUGCGGCAGCGACGCUUAUGCGUUGUUGGGUAGGGGAGCGUUCUGUAAGCCUGCGAAGGUGUGCUGUGAGGCAUGCUGGAGGUAUCAGAAGUGCGAAUGCUGACAUAAGUAACGAUAAAGCGGGUGAAAAGCCCGCUCGCCGGAAGACCAAGGGUUCCUGUCCAACGUUAAUCGGGGCAGGGUGAGUCGACCCCUAAGGCGAGGCCGAAAGGCGUAGUCGAUGGGAAACAGGUUAAUAUUCCUGUACUUGGUGUUACUGCGAAGGGGGGACGGAGAAGGCUAUGUUGGCCGGGCGACGGUUGUCCCGGUUUAAACGUGUAGGCUGGUUUUCCAGGCAAAUCCGGAAAAUCAAGGCUGAGGCGUGAUGACGAGGCACUACGGUGCUGAAGCAACAAAUGCCCUGCUUCCAGGAAAAGCCUCUAAGCAUCAGGUAACAUCAAAUCGUACCCCAAACCGACACAGGUGGUCAGGUAGAGAAUACCAAGGCGCUUGAGAGAACUCGGGUGAAGGAACUAGGCAAAAUGGUGCCGUAACUUCGGGAGAAGGCACGCUGAUAUGUAGGUGAAGUCCCUCGCGGAUGGAGCUGAAAUCAGUCGAAGAUACCAGCUGGCUGCAACUGUUUAUUAAAAACACAGCACUGUGCAAACACGAAAGUGGACGUAUACGGUGUGACGCCUGCCCGGUGCCGGAAGGUUAAUUGAUGGGGUUAGCGCAAGCGAAGCUCUUGAUCGAAGCCCCGGUAAACGGCGGCCGUAACUAUAACGGUCCUAAGGUAGCGAAAUUCCUUGUCGGGUAAGUUCCGACCUGCACGAAUGGCGUAAUGAUGGCCAGGCUGUCUCCACCCGAGACUCAGUGAAAUUGAACUCGCUGUGAAGAUGCAGUGUACCCGCGGCAAGACGGAAAGACCCCGUGAACCUUUACUAUAGCUUGACACUGAACAUUGAGCCUUGAUGUGUAGGAUAGGUGGGAGGCUUUGAAGUGUGGACGCCAGUCUGCAUGGAGCCGACCUUGAAAUACCACCCUUUAAUGUUUGAUGUUCUAACGUGGACCCGUAAUCCGGGUUGCGGACAGUGUCUGGUGGGUAGUUUGACUGGGGCGGUCUCCUCCUAAAGAGUAACGGAGGAGCACGAAGGUUGGCUAAUCCUGGUCGGACAUCAGGAGGUUAGUGCAAUGGCAUAAGCCAGCUUGACUGCGAGCGUGACGGCGCGAGCAGGUGCGAAAGCAGGUCAUAGUGAUCCGGUGGUUCUGAAUGGAAGGGCCAUCGCUCAACGGAUAAAAGGUACUCCGGGGAUAACAGGCUGAUACCGCCCAAGAGUUCAUAUCGACGGCGGUGUUUGGCACCUCGAUGUCGGCUCAUCACAUCCUGGGGCUGAAGUAGGUCCCAAGGGUAUGGCUGUUCGCCAUUUAAAGUGGUACGCGAGCUGGGUUUAGAACGUCGUGAGACAGUUCGGUCCCUAUCUGCCGUGGGCGCUGGAGAACUGAGGGGGGCUGCUCCUAGUACGAGAGGACCGGAGUGGACGCAUCACUGGUGUUCGGGUUGUCAUGCCAAUGGCACUGCCCGGUAGCUAAAUGCGGAAGAGAUAAGUGCUGAAAGCAUCUAAGCACGAAACUUGCCCCGAGAUGAGUUCUCCCUGACUCCUUGAGAGUCCUGAAGGAACGUUGAAGACGACGACGUUGAUAGGCCGGGUGUGUAAGCGCAGCGAUGCGUUGAGCUAACCGGUACUAAUGAACCGUGAGGCUUAACCUU
rnacentral:rRNA from 1 species